GGAGCUGUGGCUAAGUGGUAGAGUGUCCACCUAGAACAUGGAAGGCACUGGGUUCGAUCCUCAGCACUG
rnacentral:tRNA from 1 species